CUUGUUGCAGACCCCUUUUCAGCUAAAGAAAUAAAGAGAUGCCUUGUUGAGUUAUGUGUUGACUAUCUAACUUGUGUGAACUUAUAGGCUCCUAGGAAGAUAUCAAAGAGCCACAGUCCAGAAGAGGCCUUUGAAAGGAAGGAAAAAAGGAGCAGCAGCAACAGUAGCAGAAGCAGCUCACCGCCACCUCGCAAGACCUGAUAAAGAAAGUUUGAAGUGACCAAAUGAGACUCAUGCUCGCAUUAACUCUGCUUAGUUCGUACGAAUGUGACUGAUCGGUCUAGUCAAGGUAGGGACUUGAAGUAGGCUCAUGUAGUGAUGGAUAUGUGUAAGUUACUUUUAAGAACAACACAAUAACCUGUUGUCUAAUCUCUACUUUUGAUUCAAACUGAUUAACCAAUUCUUGAUUUGGUGGUGAAAGUGAAUCAGUGAUCUGACAACAACAACAACUACCACCACCAUCUUUGUCUUUGUCUGUUUGCUUGGAGUAAAUGUGGUUCAUGAUCUGAUGGUAACAAGUCAGUACAUAUAACUCUCCUCGUAUUCAUAUACAUUUAUAAUAAUAAUAAUAAUAUUUAUUUCGUA